rnacentral:rRNA from 1 species
UAGUGUUUUGUUAAAAGUAUUUCCUGCCCUAUGAUUAUUUAAAUGGCUGCAGUAUUUUGACUGUGCAAAGGUAGCAUAAUAAUUAGUCUUUUUAUUGGAGACUGGUAUGAAUGGAUUAAUGAGAAAUUAAUUUUAUUUUUAUUAAUAUUUUAAUUUUAUUUUUGAGUAAAAAAGCUUAAUUAUUUUAUUGGGACGAUAAGACCCUAUAGAACUUUAUUUAUUGAUAAAGUCUUUUUUAUUAGGUUUUUUUUAAUUUUAAUUUUAUUUAAUAAAUUUUGUUGGGGUGACAGGUAAAUUUUAACUUUACUUAAUUAUUUCAUUUAUUUAUGAUUUUUUUUGAUCCUAAAUUAAUAGAUUAUAAGAUUAAGUUACCUUAGGGAUAACAGCGUAAUUUUAGUGGGGAGUUCUUAUCUAUACUAAAGUUUGCGACCUCGAUGUUGAAUUAAGAUAAUUAUAGGGGGUAG